GUGUGUUUAGCUAACUGGAAUUUUAAACAGAUGCUGCCCAGACAUAAGCCCAGGGGAAGUUUUGUCAAGCAUUUACCUUUAUAUAUGCUCAAAUUAGGGUAACAGGAAAGUACAUAUUCCUUCUGUUGCCCUGGGAAAAAAUCACUUCUAUACACCAAAGCAGUACUGUAUUCUUGCGCACGCUGAGACUCUGUUAAAUCCAUAAUAGACUACUUCUGUUAGUCAUUGUUAAUAUUCUGCAGUGCAGUGUAACAGAAUGAUGAAUGAUACUUUAUCAAUGACAGAUUGAAAAAACAAACCACCCAUUGAUUCAGAAUUGGUGGUUUCACUUAAAUGUAAUAGAUGAGAAUGACAUUCAGUAAUGAGUCCCAGAUCCCUGACACAGGGAUCUCUCGCAAAUCUGAAAAACGUGUCUCGCUGUUUACCCAGAGCUCGAUGCACUUAGAGUAAUUGCCUAAGAAGCAGAGCUGUUAAAACGCGGUGGGCAUUACACCAGAGUCUGCACAAGAGCAGGACUUCUAAAUACAUUGACUUUUGUUAAUCAACUGCGCUUGAAUUGUACUGACAAAAACUCAGCGUAUGGUAGUGCAUUGAACGAUGUCAAUUAAGGAAACACUGCUGAAGGGGCACAUUUCCAUUCUGGAGAGGCUGAACAUCCAAACAGAUUUGUUUGAUAUAAUCUCAAAUAAAGAAUCCUUUUUAGCUAUACUUUAAGCUGGGGUGGUUUUGUUUUCCCCCUCUCUGGGAUGACAUUUAUUUCAGCCUCUCUAAAUCCUAUUCUCCCUAUUGACAAGCUGCAUGGCAUUGAUUUGCACUGGUCUAAAAAUUCACCACUGCCUUUUCAGUUGUGAAGCUGGUAUUUUUGGAAAAGAUUCUCCUCUUACCCCUGCCCUGCAGCCCAACUCGCUUCUUCCUGCCCCCUCGCAGCUCCCCUGGCAAAAACAACAAACCAAAAAAAACCCCCUUGCUGUUUUGAGCAGAAAAUGUAAAAGUCCGCAGAGAGCAGACAACUCCUAAUGAGUUAUAGCUCCGUUUCUGUGUGCUUCCAGAAAUCUGUGGGGUGCUGCCCUGAGAUUCGCAGAUGCUGCUAAGCAGAAUUGCUGUCAGGAUCGUGUAUAAUCUGGGUGCGUGUUUGCUCACGUUUGUGCCAUUAGUCGACCAUUUGCACUAACGACAUUUUCUUUUUCCAAGCUUUCAUCGCCAUGCAAGCUUUUUCCAAGAGGUGCUUUUCUCUGGUUCCUCCCCAUAAAGCUUUGAGGUUUUCCUGCAUCUCCAUUUACAACAGUUGUUAACAUUUACGCCUAAGACGACAUGUUGCUCCCCAAUGUCUGCUUAUUUCAGAUUGCUAAUGCUUUCCUGAUUUUAAAAAGUAGCUUCAGAGAGGAGGAUGCCCUAACAGAACACGAGUCAUUUGAGAGCAGAUUAUUUGGAGUCCUUUGCUUCAAAGCAGCCAAAGAGUCACUGCAGACCGAAGCGUCCAGUUAGGAAUUCCAGCCCCUACUGGAGAGUGUUGCGGGCAGAUCUUGCUAGAGGCUACCUUCUGACGUGUUGUUUUUUUUUAAUUACAUGUGUAUAUAGGAGAGCUUGUUUAUUAGACUUGUAAGUAGACGUUUAAAAUGGCCUUAAUUUAAAAAUAUAUUUUGGGUGGGGAAAACAUCUGGAUGCAAUUGUCCAAAAAAAGUAGGGACCAUCUAAAGUAGAAGUGUUUUCACUCUGUUCCUUUUUGGGGGUAGGGUAGGGGCGAGGGGGUGGUUGUGGGAAGGGGGUGGUUGGUGGGGUGUAUUGUCUCUCCUGCCCCAAGACAGGGCAGGCUAGCUGCUUUAUUUUUAACCCUUUGAGAGUCCACGCGAUGAGUUCAGUCCAGCGCCAGCCCAUUUCAGCCCUUUCUGCACUUCGCUUCCUAGCAGACUGGCCUCUUAGCAGCAUGCGUGCGCCCUUCACCAGCAGAAGAAUUAUUCCCUUUCCCUUUUGUUAAACACUCUGUAUUUAAAGUUUAAAACGUAGAGCCAGUGUGUUCACAACAAGUAGAGCUCUUUUUGUUUUAGUUAGCUAAUAUCACUUUCCAUUUAAAUUCACCUCACAGGGACAGUAUGUGUGGGAAAUGAUGAGCCAUUAGAAUAAAGGGAUGAUACAUGCGGACAUCACGGCAAAGUAGUGCCGGAUGAGAAAAUCGGAGGUAUUGGUCCGUAUUAUUUCAGUGGUAAAUCAUUUUUGAGCGUCUCGUGUCUCAAAGGGUUAAUGUCCAAACAUGCCUGCUGAUUCGUUUCCGUAUAGCUGAUGUUUUUAUAAGAAUUUCCCAAAACAGACUGUUGCAUUUGCCAAUAUUUUGGGGAAAUAAUAGGAAUAAACUUUCAAUGUAUAGAAUACUGUGAUUUCAAAAAGUAGGUUUCUGCUAUUUAUUGCAGCUUAAGGGGGGGAAAGGGGAGCUGUUUUCCAUUGUAUAUAGUGUUGACAUCUGCAUUCUCUUUACAAAUGGAUCCACGCAGGCCGAGUCGAGGUAGCUCUGUGUGCUGCAUGCAUGACUGACCACAGGCAGCAUCGAACGCAUCUGUCUCACUGCUGCUUGUGCAUGAGAGUGACCACUUUGCCAGCAUCCUUUAACUGUGCACAACCUUCCUGGUCAGAGAACCCCGGCCUAAAGUAAGGAAACAAAUAGGGGGGGGCAGAGUUUGCAGAUUCGUUCGGGAAGAAACGCUGGGUCGUUUGCGUGCUGUUUUGUUUGGGUUUUUUGUUUCUUGCUGUGCGCUGAGAGUCCCGGUGCACCCCACUGAACCAAGAUGCUUGCUUCCGACUUCCUGCUGGGUGACUGAGCGCCACGCUAAGCUGGCAUGAAAGCAGUAGCUGGCAAAGAGGUGUCUUUUUCAAUUUUUUUUAAACUAACUCCCACCGGUGUUGGCCCCUGCCUGUGUUAUUUUUGACACGUGCUUUUCCUGUAGAAACAGUGUUUCCAAGCUGCCCUCCCCGUGCGCAUGGUACUCGCUCAGAGCCCCCCUUGCUGCACAACCUGGGAACGGAAAGCCCCUCCACAGGCAGUGGUUGAUGUGUCUGCUGUGCUUACAGGAGACGAGCGUUGUGACCCACAUGUGGAGCCCCUGUCACUGUGAUGGCAAUGUGAACGAGCACUUAGCAUUUAUUCUAUGUAUGUCCUUUUCCAACGAGCAAGAAAUGUGUAGUGGUCCUGUCCUUUGUACUUUCUGUUGCGUAUUAUUUACCCUGCGCAGUGUAGGCAUGGAUUGCAUGUCGGUUUUCUACGCGGGCACCAUGACGACAUGAUGAGAACUGUGUAUUAUAAAUCAUUUUUACCUUUUUAAACAGAAUCAUUGUGUGGAGUUUCUAUACUGCAAAACUGAACACUACAUUAAGCUCUCUUCAUGCGUGUUAUUUAUUUUUUGGUGGGCGGGAGGGGGUGGUUCUCCCUGCAGUGUGUAUUCCCUUAUGUGGGCUUGACUGACUGUAUCCCAAUAAAGGCCUGAAGGGGUAAAGCGUUUACUGUUUUAUUCGGUAAUGUGACCUGGGACUGCAGAGGCAGCUGCGGAAGAGCGUGUUGUAGGAAGCAUAGGAUGGGAAGCAAAUAGGUAGUGGGCAGCACUGGAAAUCCAGCCGUGUAAUAGGACAGACCAAGUCCUUGAAGCAGCUGGAAUGUUAUGUGACGAUUUGAUGCCAAUCACGCGAUGAAUAUGAUGACAGCCUUGUCCAACACACCUAUGACAGACUGCGCUGCUUGUGGGAAGAUGGAUCCAGUAAUGGUUUUACUUUGGACUUGCCCUCAGAAUCUCUCUCGUGUGCCCCGGCUGGUCAUAGGAAGUCCGUGGUGCUGCUCAUUGCCUUUCCCAAGAGGCUCUUGCUCUUUGGCUGUGGCAUUCGCUGCUCUGGUGGUCUCAAGGCUGUAUCAGAGCAGUGUAUUGGGUUGUUGUCGGGCAGUGGUAUCACUGGAUAUCAAAAAGGAAGGAGAGAAGAGGAGGACGUCGCACCUGGGCAAUAGUUCCAUAUGCACAUGCUCUGAAUUCAGAUUCAGUUACAGCCCAUGUUAGGGUCUUGCAUUAGACUCCACUAGAAAAUUGUCCCCAGGACAAGAGUCCCAGUUAGUGUCUCUCUGCAGGGCAGUCUGACCUCUCCCCAUGUGUCUCCCAGACCUUCCCUUCCACAUUUCCCACAGCUAAGGAUAAAAGUGGCAGGUUUGCAAAGCUUCUAUUUCUGACUCAUCUGGCCCCGGGUUUCAAAUCUGUUUGCCUCAGUGGUGCUCUGUUUCCCCCUUGCAGUAGCAGUGGAGGGACACGCACAACCCCGGAGCCACGCUCGUCAGCAAAUGGUGCUGGGGGAGCCCACGCUGUCCUGGCAAGCUCUGCAGUAGCCAUCACGUUUUUGGAUCUUUUUGCACUGGAGUAACGGAUCCUUUCUAACCUGUGUUCCUCCAGGUGUCAG